rnacentral:rRNA from 1 species
GGCUAGCGUUAUCCGGAUUUACUGGGCGUAAAGGGUGCGUAGGCGGUCUUUCAAGUCAGGAGUGAAAGGCUACGGCUCAACCGUAGUAAGCUCUUGAAACUGGGAGACUUGAGUGCAGGAGAGGAGAGUGGAAUUCCUAGUGUAGCGGUGAAAUGCGUAGAUAUUAGGAGGAACACCAGUUGCGAAGGCGGCUCUCUGGACUGUAACUGACGC